rnacentral:lncRNA from 1 species
GGCUUCACUGAAAUAAAACAAGAAUAUAAUAGAAAACAAGAAUGGCAGUUUAAACUUGAAUUUAUUCUGGUUGUAAUGAUCUCAAAAUUUUUCAAUACCUCAAAGCCAUUACAUCAAAAUCAUUAUUUCAUAGUAACCUUAGAAUUGAAACCCCAGAGUAAUCUAGGCUACAAAUGUGAUUAUAGAUUAUGUUAGGAAAACAUCAUGAAACAAAAAUAUGAAGGGAGCUUUAAGAAACCCAAAAAUGGAGGAUGCUUUAAGAAAAUCAUAAAUGGAGAUUGAAUGUGAUUGGGAAGCUUCAUGAAACCCAACGAUGAAAACUUUACGAAACAAAAAAAUGGAUGAAGC